UACAGAGGUGGCAAGCGUUGUUCGGAAUUACUGGGCGUAAAGGGCGCGUAGGCGGUUCGUUAAGUCCUGUGUGAAAUCCCCCGGCUCAACUGGGGAACUGCACAGGAAACUAGCGGGCUUGAGUUCGGGAGAGGGAAGCGGAAUUCCGGGUGUAGCGGUGAAAUGCGUAGAUAUCCGGAGGAACACCGGUGGCGAAGGCGGCUCCUGGACCGACAUUGACGCUGAGGCGCGAAAGCGUGGGAGCAAACAGG
rnacentral:rRNA from 1 species